GACGAACGCUGGCGGCGUGCCUAAUACAUGCAAGUAGAACGCUGAAGAGAGGAGCUUGCUCUUCUUGGAUGAGUUGCGAACGGGUGAGUAACGCGUAGGUAACCUGCCUUGUAGCGGGGGAUAACUAUUGGAAACGAUAGCUAAUACCGCAUAACAAUGGAUGACACAUGUCAUUUAUUUGAAAGGGGCAAUUGCUCCACUACAAGAUGGACCUGCGUUGUAUUAGCUAGUAGGUGAGGUAAUGGCUCACCUAGGCGACGAUACAUAGCCGACCUGAGAGGGUGAUCGGCCACACUGGGACUGAGACACGGCCCAGACUCCUACGGGAGGCAGCAGUAGGGAAUCUUCGGCAAUGGGGGCAACCCUGACCGAGCAACGCCGCGUGAGUGAAGAAGGUUUUCGGAUCGUAAAGCUCUGUUGUAAGUCAAGAACGGGUGUGAGAGUGGAAAGUUCACACUGUGACGGUAGCUUACCAGAAAGGGACGGCGAACUACGU
rnacentral:rRNA from 1 species